GGCAGAAUCGAGUGUCGUAGCAUGAAUUCUUAGCGCUUGCUGCUGCAAGACAGGGUACAGGGAACGGCGGCACAGAGUUCGCAGAUCUAGGGCGGCUGCACAGACCAAGGUAGAACUGGACAGUCAACUGAGCGACACCCGCGCCUCCGGCCGCAGCGCUGAUGCCAGUUAAAGGACUGCCUCUCCAGGGUCGCCGCAGUUUGCGUCU
ensembl:misc_RNA